rnacentral:rRNA from 1 species
CCUACGGGGAGCAGCAGUGGUGGAUAUUGCACAAUGGGGGAAACCCUGAUGCAGCGACGCCUCGUGAGUGAAGAAGUAUUUCGGUAUGUAACGCUCUAUCAGCAGGGAAGAAAAAAGACGGUACCUGACUAAGAAGCCCCGGCUAACUACGUGCCUGCAGCCGCGGUAAUACGUAGGGGGCAAGCGUUAUCCGGAUUUACUGGGUGUACAGGGGGCGCAGACGGCAGCGCAAGCCAGGAGUGAAAGCCCGGGGCCCAACCCCGGGACUGCUGUUGGAACGGCGCGGCUGGAGUGCAGGAGGGGCAGGCGGAAGUCCUGGUGUAGCGGUGAAAUGCGUAGAUAUCAGGAGGAACACCGGUGGCGAAGGCGGCCUGCUGGACUGCGACUGACGUUGAGGCCCGAAAGCGUGGGGAGCAAACAGGAUUAGAUACCCUUGUAGUC